ensembl:lncRNA
GGGAGUCCGAAAUCAUCUUCAAACUAAUCUAUGCUGUAUUGGAAAAUUGGAAUGGCUAUUUAGAAAGUACAAUGGCAAAAUUUCAACUCUAUGUUUAUUAAACCUAAUUUCCUCUAAAUCCCUGCUGAUGAAAUUAUGUCUCCUGUCUCUUAGGAAUCAAAAGCUUCUCUAGAGGAUAAACUAAAAGAAGCUAAAUAAACAUCACCAGACUUGAAUGGAUGGCUUAUUGCAAUUCUGCCUUUACUGAGGAGUCUGCCUGGCCUCCAGAAUGUGAACUUUUGAAACAUGAAGUCUAUGAAAAGUUAAAGUUACAGAGGAAUAGCCACAAAGUCCAGAAAAAGUCAGAAUAAUUUAUUCUAAUAUUGGUCCACCCUCAUUGCAAAUAUUUAACAUUUUUUUCAGAUUUUAGUUAACUGUACCUCUUACCAGGUGAUAAUGACUAACUAUGAUGAUGAUAAGCCACUAAUAUUUGUAGAGUGAUUUAUUGUUGACACAAUGUUCCUAAGACGUGAGAAGAGGUAUGCCUUGGUACUCUAUUAAAAUUCCUACCCUAUAUUUGUUGGUUUUCUUCUCUAGAUGUUUUAGUCUUGUUGUACUAUUUUUAUUUUCAAGAAAUAAAUGAACCUUAAGGAAUGACUUGAUCGGCCAGACGCAGUGGCUCACACCUGUAAUCCCAGCACUUUGGGAGGCCAAGGUGGGCAGAUCACGAGGUCAAGAGAUCAAGAUUAUCCUGGCCAACAUGGUGAAACCCGAUCUCUACUAAGAAUACAAAAAUUAGCUGGGCAUGGUAGCACGCACCUAUAGUCCCAGCUACUCAGGAGGCUGAGGCAGGAUAAUCACUUGAACCCAGGAGGCAGAAGUUGCAGUGAGCCGAGAUCACACCACUGCACUCAAGCCUGGUGACAGAGUAAGACUCCGUCUAAAAAAAUAAAAGAACGACUUGAUCAUCUGUAUACUUGCACCUGAGAAUCAGAAGACUCGCUUCCACUCAGCUUUUACAAUUAUGAAAAUCAAUUCUGUUUUAUUCCUUGGCUUCUAAAGUUUUAGAAUCCAGUGAGUUGGAGUCCUACUGAAUGGUUAGGUACUUUAGCCUCCUUUUUGUCAUUCAUUUUUUUCAUUAAGCAAUUAUGUGUUCACCAAGUACUAUGUACUUGGCAUUGUCUAGAUGUUGAAGUUUCAUAGUAAAUAAAUCCAGAGUCCUUGAUCUCAAGGACGAUAUCGUAUCAGAAAUUUAAAAUAAUACAAUCCAAGGAGGACAAUGUGAAUAAAGACCUUUCAAAGUGUUGUGAGAGUCUAAAUGAAUUAAGUGUUAACUCUGUGGGGUUCCUACCUUGAAUCUCUUUGGAAUAAAAUAAGGCCUAAAUAAAGACAAUAGAGCAGACUGGAAUAAGGUGUCAUAGAAAGCAUCAGAGAUGUUACAUGCAAGGAAUUCUUGAAAACAAGCAGAAUUUUUAGCCAAGAAAAGGAGUAUAUAAGAUGGAAAGAAGAUUCAGGUGAACAAAUCGUAGGCAAAAGAAAGAAUGUGAACAAAGGCAUGUCAGCAGGAAGGACUGACGUGGGUCUUUUUUCCAAAGCACUGGGCAGGCAGGGUCAAAGUGCUCAGAGCAAGAGGGAGUAAGCCUGGGAAAAAAGUUGGGUCCAAUCAUGAUUUCCUUAGUGUGUCAGGCUACAGAGCCCUAACGUAUUCUGCAU